GUGCUCACCUUGGCAGCACAUAUAUUAAAAUUGGAACGAUACAGAGAAGAUUAGCAAGGCCCUUGCACAAGGAUGACAUGCAAAUUCGUGAAGUGUUUCAUAUUUUU
ensembl:snRNA U6 U6 spliceosomal RNA